ensembl:snRNA U6 U6 spliceosomal RNA
GUGCUUGUUUUGGCAGCAUGUAUCUGAAAAUUGGAAUGAUACAGAAAUUAGCAUGGCCCCCAUGUAAGGAUGACAUGCAGAUUCAUGGGGCAUUCCAUAUUUUU